GAUGAACGCUGGCGGCGUGCCUAAUACAUGCAAGUCGAGCGAACGGACGAGAAGCUUGCUUCUCUGAUGUUAGCGGCGGACGUGUGAGUAACACGUGGAUAACCUACCUAUAAGACUUGGAUAACUUCUGGAAACCGGUGCUAAUACCGGAUAAUAUUUUGAACCGCAUGUUUCAAAAGUGAAAGACGUUCUUGCUGUCACUUAUAGAUGGAUCCGCGCUUCAUUAGCUAGUUGGUAAGGUAACGGCUUACCAAGGCAACGAUGCAUAGCAGACCUGAGAGGGUGAUCGGCCAAACUGGAAAUGAGACACGGUACAGACUCCUACGGGAGGCAGCAGAAGGGAAUAUGCCGCAAUGGGCGAAAGCAUGACGGAGCAACGCCGCGUGAGUGAUGAAGGUCUUCGGAUCGUAAAACUCUGUUAUUAGGGAAGAACAUAUGUGUAAGUAACUGUGCACAUCUUGACGGUAACUAAUAAGAAAGCCACGGCUAACUACGUG
rnacentral:rRNA from 1 species